GACGAACGCUGGCGGCGUGCCUAAUACAUGCAAGUCGAACGAGAGCAACCGGUGCUUGCACUGGUCAAUCUAGUGGCGAACGGGUGAGUAACACGUGGGUAACCUGCCCAUCAGAGGGGGAUAACAUCCGGAAACGGAUGCUAAAACCGCAUAGGUCUUCGAACCGCAUGGUUUGAAGAGGAAAAGAGGCGCAAGCUUCUGCUGAUGGAUGGACCCGCGGUGCAUUAGCUAGUUGGUGAGGUAACGGCUCACCAAGGCCGUGAUGCAUAGCCGACCUGAGAGGGUGAUCGGCCACAUUGGGACUGAGACACGGCCCAAACUCCUACGGGAGGCAGAAGUAGGGAAUCUUCCGCAAUGGACGCAAGUCUGACGGAGCAACGCCGCGUGAGUGAAGAAGGUUUUCGGAUCGUAAAACUCUGUUGUUAGAGAAGAACAAGUGCUAGAGUAACUGUUAGCGCCUUGACGGUAUCUAACCAGAAAGCCACGGCUAACUACGUG
rnacentral:rRNA from 1 species